rnacentral:rRNA from 1 species
AUUCCAGCUCCAAUAGCGUAUACUAAAGUUGCUGCAGUUAAAAAGCUCGUAGUUGGAUUUCUGGUCGUGGUCGCCGGUCGUGCCCAAACGGGUUCUGUACCUGGCGCCCGCGUCCACCCUCGGGGAGAGCGUGUCUGGCAUUAAGUUGUCGGGCUCGGGACCCCCGUCAUUUACUGUGAGCAAAAUAGAGUGUUCAAAGCAGGCUUAGGCCAUGAAUACAUUAGCAUGGAAUAAUAAGAUAAGACCUUGGUCUAUUUUGUUGGUUUGCAUUCCAAGGUAAUGAUUAAUAGGGAUAGUUGGGGGUAUUCGUAUUCAAUUGUCAGAGGUGAAAUUCUUGGAUUUAUGGAAGACGAACUACUGCGAAAGCAUUUACCAAGGAUGUUUUCAUCG